AGCGCUGCAGACACUCUUCCUUCCGGAGGUAGUUGUUGCUGUUCCCCCGACAGCCGCCGUAGGUGAAGGGCCGGCAGUCGCGGUGUUGGGGGCUGUGGUACCACCGCCGGAACGCGGCGCGGCACGGCCCGGUGACGGGGGGGGCGGCGCACUGCUCUGCGGGGGUCACCUGACGUCACCCGGCGGUGUCACCCCGCAACGUCACCCGGUUGUCACCCCCUAUCACCUGGUUGUGUCACCCAGUGUCGUCACCUGGCGGUGUCACCCCACAACGUCACCCGGUUGUCACCCAGUGUCACCUGGUUGUGUCACCCAGUGUCAUCACCCAGCGGUGUCACCCCGCAACGUCACCCGGUUGUCACCCCGUGUCACCUGGUUGUGUCACCCAGCGUCGUCACCCGGCGGUGUCACCCCGCAAUGUCACCCGGUUGUCACCCAGUAUCACCUGGCGGUGUCACCUGGUUGUGUCACCCAGUGUCAUCACCCGGCGGUGUCACCCCGCAACAUCACCCGGUUGUCACCCUGUGUCACCUGGUUGUGUCACCCAGUGUCGUCACCUGGCGGUGUCACCUGGCAAUGUCACCCAGUUGUCACCCAGUAUCACCUGGCGGUGUCACCUGGUUGUGUCACCCAGCGUCGUCACCCGGCGGUGUCACCCAGCAAUGUCACCCGGUUGUCACCCAGUGUCACCUGGUUGUGUCACCCA
rnacentral:lncRNA from 1 species